rnacentral:lncRNA from 1 species
AAUCACAAUUUGUCUUAGUAAGUUCUGUACGUAACUAACCUUCUCUCAUAUAGAUUUCUCAUAAGCUACAAUUUAUUAGCUAGGAGUUAGUAACAUAGUUUCCGAACGUGUUUCAUAUGCAAAAGAAUUUCUCUUGAAGACUGUUGGGAAAACAGUUAGAUUUUUUAAAAAGAUGAUAAAAGAAGCAUCACACGGAUAGCAUUCCCAAUAGUUACCUAUUAGUUUUCUCAUGACUUUUGAGCAUUACCAUAUGCCUUUGUCAUGAAUUUUACUUUAGCAUUACUCAUUUCCCGAUUUGGACACUUGUUUCGUGCUACCCAUUUGCACAGUGUUUCCCAAGUUGUUUGAGAAGGUAGCAUUAAUGACCAGAGCUACCAGUAACAUUCUCAGCCAAGUAUAGUAGUUGCCGAAAUUUUGCAUAUGCAACAAAAUGAACUAUUUAUUAUUUUAUUUGGAAGGAACAGUUGAAGUACUUACCUUUUAGAAAAGUCAUAAACUCAUUCAGAACAAUGAUUGAUUGUUACGAACAGGGUAAGAAAGCAGCAUGCUUCUAACGUGACAUUUGUUCAGUGCUGGAGCAUCAUAGUCGCAAUGUUGCAAUGAUAGCACCAAUCUAAACUACAAUAUAGGAGUAGUAUCGAUGAAGAGGAUCCAUAGACUACUCUUUAUUAGCCAUGUCCCAUUAUCGAUCUGGCAAAGGAAGCACAUACUCAGGAAGAAGGAAUCAAAAUUCCUUUGAUGAUAAAGUUUGGAUUUGACAAAAAAUUAGACACUUUGGAAGGCAAUGAGCAAAGGCACAUGAAGUCAAACAGCAGGAACAGUUCAGGAUUGGACAGAGAGGAAGACUAGCUUUACAUUAAGACACGGAGCAUGAUAAAGGACAUGGGAGGGGGAAAAUACUGUGUAACAUAAUGAAGGUUGUGCCAUAGAAGCCUUAGUGAUCCAGUGAGACAAUACUAUUUAGAAUUCUCUUAAGGAACUUAUGCUAUUUACCUGGCAUUCAAGUAACUAAAUACUCUUGAGACUUGAAGCAUGAUAAGACUGGGGCUCAUGGUGGAAACUAUUUUUAUUGUUUAGUAAGGCUUUUGACGUACAUUAGAAAGGAAGGCCUCUACCACUUAAAAUGAAUGGCAUGGAUAAUGAAUUUUAGGAGUGCAAAAAUCAUCGUACCAGCUCAAGAGUAAGAGAGUUAUUAAUGUUGCAAGGAACCAAGAUAAAUUGGUAGCGAGGGGUGAUUAGGAGUUUAGCAAGGACAUUUAGUAGAUGAUUGUAAAAACAGCCUGACAUCCUCGAGCCAUUAGCAGAAUUAUGCAGUUAAAUAAGCUACUAAAUAGUUAAACAGUAAGAAAACCAUAUUCACAUUAAAAAUUAAAUUUUGUGCAAGAAAUACUAGAUGGAUGAAGGUUUCAUCUUUACCAAGCCAUUAGAGUCUCUUUGAGGUUCUAUCAUAGACCUACGUUCCAAUCCCCCUUCGGCAAGGUUUGAAGAGUUUAGGUUAUUUGGGCGAGGGAUACUCCCAGUUAUGUAGCCCAUUGCCUAUGCCCAAGGGUUCAAGAGAAUAUUAAACCUUUCGGACCAGAGUUGUGAAAAGGAUAAAGGUGACAUCUUGAUGAUAAUAAGAAAUGGAAGAAGGUUUUCAACCUACUCUUAGGACUUAGAAUUUUCUGGUUAUUGGUUUUUUUUGGUCUUGCAAUAUUUGUCGGUUAUUGGCUUUUAUUGGUCUUCCAAUAUCAAGUAGUGCGACAUAGGGCUUAGAAUUUUUUUCAUCAAAUAUAAUCAGGUUUACUCUUAUUUAUUAACAGGUGAGAAGAAAGAAAAGUAGAAGAUUAUAGAGUACAAAGGGAAAAAUAAGAUAAAAUAAGAACUAAAGAAAGAAUUAGAGAUUAGGACAAGAAAUCCAAACCUCGCCUUUUUUUCCCUCCUUCCUCAAUUAAAAUAAAUCAAAAAUCUUCACAGUUCAACAUUCCACAUGGAUUCUAUUUAUACAGAUAACUCCCUUCUUAUCUAUGAUGUCUCAGGAUUUUCUCAAUAUAAUUUUUCCCCGGAAUAGACCUCUAAUCAACCUGAACUCCAUCAUAUCCAAGGCUUUUCAAAUAAUAACCAAAUAAAUGCAAGAAAAAAACUAUUAUUCGGGAGACCAAAGAAGAAUAAAAACCACUUACACAUCUCCUAAAACCUCUCCUUAAAGACUUAAGAGCUAGAGAGCAACUAAGAUACUUAUGUUACAUCGAUGUUUUGAGCUGCUAGAUGAGACCCCAAAGUAACCCAAUUGCUUGCCACUUCUGAAAGCUGAGCCCAUUAUUGAUUUCAACAAGAAUUCUAGUGCUUCUGGAGUUUAUUCUAGCACCCACUGCAUUCUCCCUUAAACCUUAGAAGCUGAUCUUCAGCUAUUGCUGUAUCACAUACCUAUGGAAAGCCAUUCUUCUCAGCAAUUAAGUGGUUAUUUUAGUGUGUAUGAAUGAUAAUUUUUCAGUUAUCCAUGCCCUAAAAGAAUAGGCAUCAAACAAAUAACUAUCAAGUGUGUUGCAUAGAGCAUCAGAUCCUAUGCGUAUUCCAGUAAAUUGAAAGCUUACCAUGUAUCACACACAUUAGCAUUACAACUUUAUCACUAUUUUGUACAUCAAACAAUUUUGAGGGUGGGCCAUGGUGCAAUGCUAAGGUUUGCUCCAUUGUGACCUUUGUGGUGUCACAAGUACAAAACAUGGAACAACCUCUUCACAGGCGGAGAUAAGAAUGCAUACAUCUGACCCUCCCUAGGCCCAAUAGUGAUGGGAGCCCCCUAGGAUGCCCUUUUUCUGUACAUCAAACAAUUAAAAAGAGUGAACUGCCAUUAGAUGUAAAAGCAAAUAUUGCUUAGACAACCCAACACAACUUGGGCAUUUAACCAACCAUUAUUCAAUAAUAUUCAGGAACAUAGUUAAUUGAUUUUUUUUUAACCAAAAGGAUAGGUAGGCUUUGUUGGCUUUUAG